rnacentral:lncRNA from 1 species
AAUCCAAAUACAGUCCUUUUGGCAAUUGAAGUUGCACGGAUAAUGUUUCUUUUGUUGACGUAAACCAUGGGAACUUCAGUUGCAUGAUCUCAUUAACUGAUUACAGCUGUGACUUUGAAGUAAUCUCUCAGAAUGAGCACUUUUAGAAGAGUUGUUACUCACGGGCCAAGUCCAGGAUUGUGGAAGAAGAUUUGCAGAGGGCAUCAGGAAAGAUGGCUGAAUGUUUUCUCCAUUUUCUGAUGGCCAAAAGGAAUACAGGAACCACAGUACCUAGCACAGAACAGAAAUUCUGCUUCUUGCUGAAGAAUACAUUACCGGUGAUGAAAGACUUACUUCGCUCUUCCUUGAGUGAUGCACUGGGGAGAUUAUCUUGUAAACUGAGUGAAAGGGCUGCCAGACACCAUCUCCUAGAAAUGCCUGGAAGAGACAUGAGCUAA